rnacentral:rRNA from 1 species
GACGAACGCUGGCGGCGUGCUUAACACAUGCAAGUCGAACGGAGAGGCCCUGCUUUUGUGGGGUGCUCGAGUGGCGAACGGGUGAGUAACACGUGAGUAACCUGCCCUUGACUUUGGGAUAACUUCAGGUAACUGGGGCUAAUACCGGAUAGGAGCCCCUGCUGCAUGGUGGGGGUUGGAAAGUUUCGGCGGUUGGGGAUGGACUCGCGGCUUAUCAGCUUGUUGGUGGGGUAGUGGCUUACCAAGGCUUUGACGGGUAGCCGGCCUGAGAGGGUGACCGGCGACAUUGGGACUGAGAUACGGCCCAGACGGCUACGGGAGGCAACAGUGGGGAAUAUGGCACAAUGGGCGCAAGCGUGAUGCGACAACGCCGCGUGCGGGAUGACGGCCUGCGGGGUGUGAACCGCUUUCGCCUGUGACGAAGCGGGAGUGACGGUAAUGGAUAAAGAAGCACCGGCUAACUACGUG